ensembl:lncRNA
CAUCCGUGUCCUGCAGUCCCUGCUGCUGUCUCCUCCCCCAACCUGGUCCGACCUUCUGAUCCUGCUCAUCUUGGGAGUCGGCCUGGAUGCAGAACGUGGGCCUCUUCGACCCUCUAAGCCCCCACCACGGCCUCCUGGAGGCACAGAAGACCUCCCUAAGGCCCUCCCGGCCAUGCGAGACAGAGCGCUAAAGGACUCAUGAGGAUCAGCCUGGAGUGGGGGAGAUUUAUGAAGAGUCAGAGUGAGCAGUGAGGUCUCUACUCCUGGCAUCUCUAUCUCUCUGUAGGAGCUCUGGGCAACCACAGCUGUCAACACCCCAGCUCCCCACCAGCAGCUGAG